CCCCAUCCAAUUGCCGUUUGCUCUUUUGGCGAGGCAUAGAUUUGCUGUACGUGUGGCACGAGGCGACCGGCCUGCUGGCGGGAUACCAUCCUGAACACCCUGUGCCAGCAGGCCAGGUACCUAUCCGGGUCAAUUAAAGGCCUCUUGAGAAAAGGAAAAAGAAAAGUUGCUGUGAAUUUGGCAUGAAGUGACGGGCCUGCAGUUGGGCCACCUGUCCGUACUGCUUUUCCUACUGCAAUCGGGGGCGCUAUCCGACCAACAGCUUGGUGAAGGCCUCGCCUACCCGUAUGCGACCCUCGACACAUGGUGCCACCAGGCCAGGACUGCAAGGUGAACACUGCGCCGGAAUACGGAUACGGGGACCAAGCCUACAUUUUGCCCCAUCCAAUUGCGUUUGCUCUUUUGGCGAGUCACAGACUUGCUGUACGUGUGGCACGAGGUGACCGGCCUGCUGGCGCGCCAUCCUGAACACCCUGUGCCAGCAGGCCAGACUUGCUCUACGUGUGGCACGAGGUGACCGGCCUGCUGGCGCGCCAUCCUGAACACCCUGUGCCAGCAGGCCAGCUUUUUGUAGUGACCAAGGGUUUUCUUAGUGACGCACGUGGCCGAAGCUGUCAGAGUUGUGACGCGUCAUCCGAAGGCUGUAGGUUCCAUCCCCAGCUGCGG